rnacentral:tRNA from 1 species
GGACUUGUAGCUCAAAGAUAGAGCAACCGAGUUGUUCCAACCGAGAAGCAGCUUGUGUAUCUUGCGGGUUCAAAUCCCGCCAAGUCCG